rnacentral:rRNA from 1 species
UACGGAGGGUGCGAGCGUUGUCCGGAAUCACUGGGCGUAAAGGGCGCGUAGGUGGCGUCGCAAGUCAACGGUGAAAGCUCGACGCUCAACGUCGAGUCGGCCGUCGAGACUGCGAGGCUUGAGCACUGUAGAGGCAGAUGGAAUUCCGGGUGUAGCGGUGGAAUGCGUAGAGAUCCGGAAGAACACCGGUGGCGAAGGCGGGUCUCUGGACAGUUCCUGACACUGAGACACGAAGGCCAGGGGAGCAAACGGG